GUCUUCGUGGUGCAGUGGCCAGCAUGCUUGAAUCGUAUUCGAGAGGUUUGUGGUUCGAGUCCCAGUGAGGGCA
rnacentral:tRNA from 1 species